AUUGAACGCUGGCGGCAGGCCUAACACAUGCAAGUCGAGCGGAUGAAGGGAGCUUGCUCCUGGAUUCAGCGGCGGACGGGUGAGUAAUGCCUAGGAAUCUGCCUGGUAGUGGGGGAUAACGUCCGGAAACGGGCGCUAAUACCGCAUACGCCCUGAGGGAGAAAGUGGGGGAUCUUCGGACCUCACGCUAUCAGAUGAGCCUAGGUCGGAUUAGCUAGUUGGUGGGGUAAAGGCCUACCAAGGCGACGAUCCGUAACUGGUCUGAGAGGAUGAUCAGUCACACUGGAACUGAGACACGGUCCAGACUCCUACGGGAGGCAGCAGUGGGGAAUAUUGGACAAUGGGCGAAAGCCUGAUCCAGCCAUGCCGCGUGUGUGAAGAAGGUCUUCGGAUCGUAAAGCACUUUAAGUUGGGAGGAAGGGCAGUAAGUUAAUACCUUGCUGUUUUGACGUUACCAACAGAAUAAGCACCGGCUAACUUCGUG
rnacentral:rRNA from 1 species